rnacentral:rRNA from 1 species
CAGUCGCCACGGGAAUACGGAGGGGGCUAGCGUUGUUCGGAAUUACCGGGCGUAAAGCGCACGUAGGCGGCUUGGUAAGUUAGAGGUGAAAGCCUGGAGCUCAACUCCAGAAUUGCCUUUAAGACUGCCGAGCUAGCAGGUGAGAGAGGUAAGUGGAAUUCCGAGUGUAGAGGUGAAAUUCGUAGAUAUUCGGAAGAACACCAGUGGCGAAGGCGGCUUACUGGCUCAUACUGGACGCUGAGGUGCGAAAGCGUGGGGAGCAAGCAGGAUUAGAUACCCGGGUAGUCCCUGUCUCUUAUAA